rnacentral:rRNA from 1 species
UGAGUCUGCGUCUGAUUAGCUAGUUGGUGAGGUAAUGGCUCACCAAGGCUGCGAUCAGUAGCUGGUCUGAGAGGACGAUCAGCCACACUGGAACUGAGACACGGGCCAGACUCCUACGGGAGGCAGCAGUGGGGAAUAUUGCGCAAUGGGGGAAACCCUGACGCAGCGACGCCGCGUGAGCGAUGAAGGCCUUCGGGUUGUAAAGCUCUGUCUUCCCUGACGAUAAUGACGGUAAGGGAGGAGGAAGCCACGGCUAACUACGUGCCAGCAGCCGCGGUAAUACGUAGGUGGCAAGCGUUGUCCGGAAUUAUUGGGCGUAAAGGGUGCGUAGGCGGCUCUUUAAGUGGGAUGUGAAAUCCCUAGGCUCAACCUAGGAACUGCAUUCCAAACUGGAGAGCUAGAGUGCAGGAGAGGAAAGCGGAAUUCCCAGUGUAGCGGUGAAAUGCGUAGAGAUUGGGAGGAACACCAGUGGCGAAGGCGGCUUUCUGGACUGUAACUGACGCUGAGGCACGAAAGCGUGGGGAGCAAACAGGAUUAGAUACCCUGGUAGUCCACGCUGUAAACGAUGGGUACUAGGUGUAAGGGGGCGAAGCCCUCUGUGCCGCAGCUAACGCAUUAAGUACCCCGCCUGGGGAAUACGGUCGCAAGAUUAAAACUCAAAGGAAUUGACGAAGGCCCGCACAAGCAGCGGAGCAUGUGGUUUAAUUCGAAGCAACGCGAAGAACCUUACCAGGGCUUGACAUCCACCGAACCCUGUGGAAACACUGGGGGUGCCCUUCGGGGAACGGUGAAACAGGUUG